GGGGCGAAGGCGGCAGCUUACACAUGCAAGUCGAGCGGUAGCACAGGGGAGCUUGCUCCCCGGGUGACGAGCGGCGGACGGGUGAGUAAUGUCUGGGAAACUGCCUGAUGGAGGGGGAUAACUACUGGAAACGGUAGCUAAUACCGCAUAACGUCGCAAGACCAAAGAGGGGGACCUUCGGGCCUCUUGCCAUCAGAUGUGCCCAGAUGGGAUUAGCUAGUAGGUGGGGUAAUGGCUCACCUAGGCGACGAUCCCUAGCUGGUCUGAGAGGAUGACCAGCCACACUGGAACUGAGACACGGUCCAGACUCCUACGGGAGGCAGCAGUGGGGAAUAUUGCACAAUGGGCGCAAGCCUGAUGCAGCCAUGCCGCGUGUGUGAAGAAGGCCUUCGGGUUGUAAAGCACUUUCAGCGAGGAGGAAGGUGGUGAGCUUAAUACGCUCAUCAAUUGACGUUACUCGCAGAAGAAGCACCGGCUAACUCCGUGCCAGCAGCCGCGGUAAUACGGAGGGUGCAAGCGUUAAUCGGAAUUACUGGGCGUAAAGCGCACGCAGGCGGUUUGUUAAGUCAGAUGUGAAAUCCCCGGGCUCAACCUGGGAACUGCAUUUGAAACUGGCAAGCUAGAGUCUCGUAGAGGGGGGUAGAAUUCCAGGUGUAGCGGUGAAAUGCGUAGAGAUCUGGAGGAAUACCGGUGGCGAAGGCGGCCCCCUGGACGAAGACUGACGCUCAGGUGCGAAAGCGUGGGGAGCAAACAGGAUUAGAUACCCUGGUAGUCCACGCUGUAAACGAUGUCGAUUUGGAGGUUGUGCCCUUGAGGCGUGGCUUCCGGAGCUAACGCGUUAAAUCGACCGCCUGGGGAGUACGGCCGCAAGGGUUAAAACUCAAAUGAAUUUGACGGGGGCCCGCACAAGCGGUGGAGCAUGUGGUUUAAUUCGAUGCAACGCGAAGAACCCUUACCUACUCUUGACAUCCAGAGAAACUUAGCAGAGAUGGCUUUGGUUGCCUUUCGGGAACUCUGAGACAAGGGUGCUGCCAUGACUGUCGUCAGCCUCGUGUUUGUGGAAAUGAUGGGUUAAGUCCCGCCAACGAGCGCAACCCCUUUAUCCUUUGUUGUCAGGCGGAUUUCGCCGGCAACCUCCAAAGGGAAACUGGCCAGUGACUAACUGGCAGCAAGGUAGUGAAUAGAGACGCUUCAGAGUUCCAUCCUAGUGGCUCCCUCUGAUGCCGAUUC
rnacentral:rRNA from 1 species